UACGGAGGGGGCUAGCGUUGUUCGGAAUUACUGGGCGUAAAGCGCACGUAGGCGGCUUUGUAAGUUAGAGGUGAAAGCCUGGAGCUCAACUCCAGAAUUGCCUUUAAGACUGCAUCGCUUGAACACGGGAGAGGUGAGUGGAAUUCCGAGUGUAGAGGUGAAAUUCGUAGAUAUUCGGAAGAACACCAGUGGCGAAGGCGGCUCACUGGACCGUUGUUGACGCUGAGGUGCGAAAGCGUGGGGAGCGAACAGG
rnacentral:rRNA from 1 species